rnacentral:tRNA from 1 species
GGGGACGUAGCUUAGCUGGGAAAGCGCAGCGUUCGCAACGCUGAGACCGCGGGUUCGAAUCCCGUCGUCUCCA